GAUGAACGCUAGCGGCAGGCUUAAUACAUGCAAGUCGUGGGGCAGCAUGAGUAGCAAUACUUGAUGGCGACCGGCAAACGGGUGAGGAACACGUACACAACCUUCCUUCAAGCGGGGAAUAGCCCAGAGAAAUUUGGAUUAAUACCCCAUAAUAUAUUUGAUAAGGCAUCUUAUUAAUAUUAAAGCUUCGGCACUUGAUGAUGGGUGUGCGGCUGAUUAGAUAGUUGGCGGGUAACGGCCCACCAAGUCUACGAUCAGUAGCUGAUGUGAGAGCAUGAUCAGCCACGCGGGCACUGAGACACGGGCCCGACUCCUACGGGAGGCAGCAGUAAGGAAUAUUGGACAAUGGACGAAAGUCUGAUCCAGCCAUGCCGCGUGAAGGAUUAAAGGUCCUCUGGAUUGUAAACUUCUUUAUAUGGGACGAAAAAAGGGCAUUCUUGUUCACUUGACGGUACCAUAUGAAUAAGCACCGGCUAACUCCGUGCCAGCAG
rnacentral:rRNA from 1 species